CACCCAGCCCAAAUAGCCUCUACGGCGGCAGGCGGCAGCCGAUGCGGCGGCCGGUCAUCGCCGGCGCCACGGGCCCCUUUCCUCUCUGGCGCAGGCGACGGGCAGGUCUGGACAGGCGGCAAGCUGGCUUCCGGGGAUAUGCUUCCUCCGUAUCAUGGCACGCUGAGCUCGCGGGACGACGCACCCCCCCUGCAUUCGCCUGUUUUGAGAUUGUUGCCACCCGCCGCUCGAUUGCUGUGCAGCGUCCACCCGAUUGCUCUUCCUCUUCGCGCCUUCGAUCCGCCGCUGAGGAUUUCAGAGAAGAAGGCCGAUUUGAUAGCUCCUAUGGUUUAACUAUUUGCUCUCUAAUUUGAAGUUUCCUGCCAGCUAGUAAUCUGGCUGGGUCAGAAGUGUUUGGACAUAGGAAAAUACCAAUUAUAGAGAGUAAGAACAUGACAAAAGGCUGUGUCACAGCGUUGUGUUAAGGUAGUUUACCUGGAAGUAUCCCAAAUCACGGCAUGCUUUGGCGAUAUCGUCAACCACCCCGGACCGCGCCAUGGGAUUAUCAAGGCUGAGGUGGCCAAGGUUGAUCACCGGCAUUGGCUGCGGGUGCAGCUCCUGCGACGGCAGCUGCUCUAGAGGGACAUUCUUUGUUGUGUCAGACAUUGCGGCCAAACCACGCGCAGCUGAGAAACAGAAGGCAUACAGGUGCAUAUUACACCUGAUGGAUCCUCACCUGGACAGUCCCCCCAAAAGAGAAGUCAAGUAAGGCAACGCAUUUCCAUCCAUGCAUGCACUUUGCUGCGUCGAAGUAGACCACAUAUAUUUUAUCUGUCCAGGAGAGGCCAAGCCACUGGCCGGGCAAAGGCUACCUACUCUACCUACGUACGUACUCCUACGUUGGGAGCUCGCCCAUGGUGCGUGUGCUGUUGCAACGCAUCUGCAUGCGCAAGUAGCAAUAGAGUAUGAUAACACUGAGCUCCACAGGCCAAGCACUCAAGCAGCCAUCUCUCCGUCCGCGGCGCGGGCAAGUUGUGCAACUGGCGGUGCUGGGGCUGGACCUUUCUUAAGACUCAAGGAAAUGAAGACGAUGGAGUGGAUAAUCACUCCCAUCUUUGUUUCGUACUCAUGCUUAUAAGUUAAAAUUUAAAUUUUCAGUCUUAAUUUUGAGUGUUUUUUUA